rnacentral:misc_RNA from 1 species
GCUACUACCGAUUGAAUGGUUUAGCGAGAUGCUCGGAUCGGGCCCAGCCCGUGCGAAAGCAUGUGCCGGGACUGAGAAGAAGUUCAAGCUUGAUCAUUUAGAGGAAGUAAAAGUCGUAACAAGGUUUUCGUAGGUGAACCUGCAGAAGGAUCAAGAUGGGAGGAGCGUCGGGUAGGGAAGGGGGGUAGAUCCGGGUGGUAGCGGUAUCAUUAAAAAAAAAAACAAGGAGAGGUAACAGCUUACCAUGUCACGUAUAGGUAGAGGUGCUGAGAGAGUG